CGCGUAGGCGGUCGUGUGCGUCGGAGGUGAAAUCCCCGGGCCUAACCCGGGAACUGCCUUCGAUACGGCACGACUGGAGUGCGGGAGGGGAGAGUGGAACUCCUGGUGGAGCGGUGAAAUGCGUAGAUAUCAGGAGGAACGCCGGUGGCGAAAGCGACUCUCUGGUCCGCAACUGACGCUGAGGCGCGAAAGCCAGGGGAGCAAACG
rnacentral:rRNA from 1 species